UAGCCUUCUUCGUUUCACCUUUCACGAUCUGAAAGUGGAGGGAUUCGACAUUGCCCUUUGCUCUUCCUCUUCUUCAUUUUCAUUUCACGAUCUGAUCCACAAUCAAUCAAUACAUCCUCCACUUCGUUUCUCCAUUUACUCUUAUUGACCCUCCAAGACACGACAGUGCCGAAACCAUUCGUAGGGCUUUGAAUCUUGGUGUUAACGUUAAGAUGAUCACCGGUAACUAAACUUAUUCAUCAUUUUCUAUAUCAGGAAAUCGAUGGCUACGUAGAUGUUUUUCCUAACUUGCGCUCUAAUACGUUUCCAGGUGACCAACUUGCUAGGUAAGGAAACCGGUCGCAGGCUUGGAAUGGGAACCAACAUGUAUCCAUCUGCGGCUCUUCUUGGUACUGACAAGGACUCCAACAUUGCAUCCAUUCCUGUUGAGGAGUUGAUCGAGAAGGUUGAUGGGUUUGCUGGGGUCUUUCCAGAGCACAAAUAUGAAAUUGUGAAAAGCUGCAAGAGAGGAAACACAUUGUUGGAAUGACUGGUGAUGGUGUCAACGAUGCUCCUGCAUUGAAGAAAGCUGACAUUGGUAUUGAUGUGGCCGAUGCUACAGAUGCUGCUCGUGGUGCUUCAGAUAUUGUUCUCACUGAACCUGGAUUGAGUGUUAUCAUCUGUGUAGUGCUCACUAGCAGAGCUAUCUUCCAGAGAAUGAAGAACUACACCAUUUAUGCAGUGUCAAUCACAAUCUG